UACAGAGGGGGCAAGCGUUGUCCGGAAUCAUUGGGCGUAAAGAGCGUGUAGGCGGCCUGGUAAGUCCGCUGUGAAAGUCCAGGGCUCAACCCUGGAAUGCCGGUGGAAACUGUCAGGCUCGAGUCCGGAAGAGGCGAGUGGAAUUCCUGGUGUAGCGGUGAAAUGCGCAGAUAUCAGGAGGAACACCAUGGCGAAGGCAGCUCGCUGGGACGGUACUGACGCUGAGACGCGAAAGCGUGGGGAGCAAACAGG
rnacentral:rRNA from 1 species